GUUUGAUCCUGGCUCAGGAUGAACGCUGGCGGCGUGCUUAACACAUGCAAGUCGAACGAUCCUUCGGGAUAGUGGCGGACGGGUGAGUAACGCGUGGGAAUCUGCCCUUAGGAGGGGGAUAACGGCUGGAAACGGCCGCUAAUACCCCAUAUGCCGAGAGGUGAAAGGAAAUUCGCCUGAGGAUGAGCCCGCGUCUGAUUAGCUAGUUGGUGGGGUAAAGGCCUACCAAGGCGACGAUCAGUAGCUGGUCUGAGAGGAUGAUCUGCCACACUGGGACUGAGACACGGCCCAGACUCCUACGGGAGGCAGCAGUGGGGAAUUUUCCGCAAUGGGCGAAAGCCUGACGGAGCAACGCCGCGUAGGGGAUGAAGGCCUCUGGGCUGUAAACCCCUUUUCUCAAGGAAGAAGACCUGACGGUACUUGAGGAAUAAGCCACGGCUAAUUCCGUGCCAGCAGCCGCGGUAAUACGGGAGUGGCAAGCGUUAUCCGGAAUUAUUGGGCGUAAAGCGUCCGCAGGCGGCUCUGUAAGUCUGUUGUUAAAGCGUGGAGCUCAACUCCAUUUCAGCAAUGGAAACUACGGGGCUUGAGUGUGGUAGGGGCAGAGGGAAUUCCCGGUGUAGCGGUGAAAUGCGUAGAUAUCGGGAAGAACACCAGUGGCGAAGGCGCUCUGCUGGGCCAUAACUGACGCUCAUGGACGAAAGCCAGGGGAGCGAAAGGGAUUAGAUACCCCUGUAGUCCUGGCCGUAAACGAUGAACACUAGGUGUCGGGGGAAUCGACCCCCUCGGUGUCGUAGCCAACGCGUUAAGUGUUCCGCCUGGGGAGUACGCACGCAAGUGUGAAACUCAAAGGAAUUGACGGGGGCCCGCACAAGCGGUGGAGUAUGUGGUUUAAUUCGAUGCAACGCGAAGAACCUUACCAGGGUUUGACAUCCUGCGAACCCCUGAGAAAUCGGGGGGUGCCUUCGGGAGCGCAGAGACAGGUGGUGCAUGGCUGUCGUCAGCUCGUGUCGUGAGAUGUUGGGUUAAGUCCCGCAACGAGCGCAACCCACGUCUUUAGUUGCCAGCAUUCAGUUGGGCACUCUAGAGAGACCGCCGGUGAUAAACCGGAGGAAGGUGUGGAUGACGUCAAGUCAUCAUGCCCCUUACAUCCUGGGCUACACACGUACUACAAUGCUACGGACAAAGGGCAGCAAGCUCGCGAGAGUUAGCAAAUCCCAUAAACCGUGGCUCAGUUCAGAUCGUAGGCUGCAACUCGCCUACGUGAAGGAGGAAUCGCUAGUAAUCGCAGGUCAGCAUACUGCGGUGAAUACGUUCCCGGGCCUUGUACACGCCGCCCGUCACACCAUGGAAGUUGGCCAUGCCCGAAGUCGUUACUCCAACCCUUGUGGAGGAGGACGCCGAAGGUGGGGCUGAUGACUGGGGUGAAGUCGAAACAAGGUA
rnacentral:rRNA from 1 species